UCCCGGGUCGUCCAAGCGGCAGGACUUCCGGUUUUGGUCCGGACAACCGAGGUUCGAAUCCUCGCCCGGGAG
rnacentral:tRNA from 1 species